CUUGGGUCCGAGUUGUAAUCUAUAGAGGCGUUUUCCGUGCCGGACCGUGUCCAAGUCCCUUGGAACAGGGUAUCAAAGAGGGUGACAAUCCCGUACUUGACACGACGACCGGUGCUCUGUGAUACGUCUUCGACGAGUCGAGUUGUUUGGGAAUGCAGCUCAAAAUGGGUGGUAAAUUCCAUCUAAAGCUAAAUAUUGGCGAGAGACCGAUAGCGAACAAGUACCGUGAGGGAAAGAUGAAAAGCACUUUGGAAAGAGAGUUAAACAGUACGUGAAAUUGUUAAAAGGGAAACGAUUGAAGUCAGUCGUGUUGGUCGGAUUCAGCCUGGUCUCCGGGUGUAUUUCCUUCCAACGGGUCAACAUCAGUUUGGAUCGGUGGAUAAAGAUGGAGGGAAGGUGGCAUCUCCGGAUGUGUUAUAGCCCUCUGUUGCAUACGCUGGUCCGGACUGAGGCAUGCAGCUCGCCUUUAUGGCCGGGGUUCACCCACGUUCGAGCUUAGGAUGUUGACGUAAUGGCUUUAAACGACCCGUCUU
rnacentral:rRNA from 1 species